GGCACCGUGGUCUCAUCCGCCUGCACAGCUGAGUCCAGUGGGAGCUGAUGCCAUGACCCUCACCCUCUCAGUCCUGAUUUGCCUCGGUGAGGUUUGAAGAGGGGGAAGGAAGGUCCCCGUCUUGGAGGGAGCUCACUCUAAAGCGAGGCUCUGGUCUAUCAGAGAAUCUGGUCUAUCAGAGGCUCCGAGGGAGGAGAGGAACUGCUGGGGCUUCCGGGGGCAAAUCCCUCACAGGGAACUCUCUUCCAGGGCUGAAUGUGGGCCCCAGGACCUGCGUGCAGGCAGGUGAGUCUGUCCCCAGCUGUCCCAGUUCCCUUCUUCUCACUGGGGACAAGGGCCCAACCCCAGGCAGCUGGGGGUGGAGAUAGCUGUUCUGGGCUGACUGAUGGGGACGUCUGGAGGGUCCUGGGGCUGAGAGCUGGAAUCUGAGGGAUGGGGAUGUCUUGGGAUCCAGCCUCUGAUUCCAUUCUAGGCACCCUCCCCAAACCCACCCUCUGGGCUGAGCCAGCCUCUGUGAUAGCCCGGGGGAAGCCCGUGACCCUCUGGUGUCAGGGGCCCCUGGAGACUGAGGAGUACCGUCUGGAUAAGGAGGGACUCCCAUGGGCCUGGGAGAGACAGAACCCACUGGAGCCUGGAGCCAAGGCCAAGUUCCACAUUCUAUCCACGGUGUAUGACAGUGCAGGGCGAUACCGCUGCUACUAUGAGACCCCUGCAGGCUGGUCAGAGCCCAGUGACCCCCUGGAGCUGGUGGCGACAGGCGUGUCUAGGAAGCCCUCCCUCCUGAUCCCGCAGGGCUCUGUCGUGGCCCGCGGAGGCAGCCUGACCCUGCAGUGUCGCUCUGAUGUCGGCUAUGACAGAUUUGUUCUGUACAAGGAGGGGGGACAUGACCUCGUCCAGGGCUCUGGCCAGCAGCCCCAGGCUGGGCUCUCCCAGGCCAACUUCACCCUGAGCCCUGUGAGCCGCUCCUACGGGGGUCAGUACAGAUGCUACGGUGCACACAACCUCUCCCCUAGGUGGUCGGCCCCCAGUGACCCCCUGGACAUCCUGAUCGCAGGACUGAUCCCUGACAGACCCUCCCUCUCGGUGCAGCCGGGCCCCACGGUGGCCUCAGGAGAGAACGUGACCCUGCUGUGUCAGUCAUGGCGUCAGAUAGACACUUUCUUUUUGACCAAGGAGGGGGCAGCCCAUCCCCCGCUGUGUCUAAAGUCAAAGUACCAGUUUUAUAAAUACCAGGCUGAAUUCUCCAUGAGUCCUGUGACCUCAGCCCGGGGUGGAACCUACCGAUGCUACAGCGCAAUCAGGUCCUACCCCCACCUGCUGUCCAGCCCUAGUUACCCCCUGGAGCUCGUGGUCUCAGGUGAGGGCCCUGACCCUGUCCUGUCCGAGCUCAAAGGCUCAGCUCAGGCCCUGCCCCCAGGAGAGCUCUGGGCUGGGAUGGAGACGCGGUGGGGUGGGGGGGGGUUUGAGGGGGGCUCAGCCAGAGGGAGACUCACCCCUCAGAGGGGAGGAGGACAACGGGGGCUCCCCAGGCAUGCCCACACUUGGCCCCAUCUCCUGGGAUGCAAAUGGUGAAAGGUGAGCAGAAGAAAGUUUCCAGAGAAGCCACGGGCAGGUGGAGGGACGGGUUUCCUCACUCAGCACCAAAGCGCCUCGCUCCCUUUCUGUGCUUAUUCCCAGGACCCUCUGGGGAUCCCAGCCUCUCACCUACAGGCUCCACCCCCACACCUGGUGAGUCACUGAGGCCUCUGGGCUCGGAGGGAGCGCGGCCUCCCCCCAGGCAGCCCUGAGUCUCCCCGAGGAUCCUAUUCUCCUCAAAGACUCAAGCGGGAGCUUCCCUCCGGGGAGCUGGGCAGAGCCAGAGGAGGGGCCGCAGGCUCCCCGGGGCUCUGAGGCUGGGCCGGUGAGGGGGCGGGCGUCGAGGCAGGGAGAGAUGUUGGGUGUUGGGGCCCAGCCUGGGGGAGGAGCAGCCGGGCUGAUGUGGGGAGCAGGGCAGCCCCAGCCCUCACCUCCCCGUCCUGACCCAGCAGGCCCUGAGGACCAGCCCCUCACCCCCACGGGGUUGGAUCCCCAGAGUGGUGAGUGGGGGCUCUGAGUGGGAGGUGGGCGGGGUCCAGGGGAGGCAGGGGUGGGUUCUGUCGUAGGUUCAGGCUCCUCUGGAGAUGGUGAAGUGCACAAGCCCUUCCCCUGCCUGGGCCUCAGUUUCUCCGAGUGUAAAGGAGAGAGGCCUGCACUGAUGGGAUUCUUCAGGGGACUGUCCUGUCCCACCGGCAGCAGUGAUGGUGACCUGGGGCAGGGGAGGGGAGCAGGGCCGUGGUUUGGGGCAUUCAGGCUCUCUCCCUGCAGCUCUGGGGCUCCGCUCAGGUGCAGAGAACGAGGGCUGCGGGUCAGACUCCUGGGUUCACUCCCCAGCUCUGCCGCAUCCCACCGUGGGCCCAGGCAGGUCAACUUUCUACUCUGACUCAGUUUCAGCAGCUGUAAACUGGCUCAGUCCCAUCCAGCUCACAGAACUGCUGCGAGGUGUAAGCAAAAUCAUGGGACCUGGCCCUGUACACAGCUCGGCAGGGGCACCGUCCUCCUGCUACCCUCAGCCCUUCCCAGAUACACACAGAGCCCCUAUCCAGACAGGUUCUGCAUGGGAGUAUGGGAACUUGGCAGAGUGGGAAACGGACCUGGCUGAGCUGGGGGUGAGAGCAAUGCAGGGUCCGUCCUGCACAACCCACUCCCUCUCCCAGGCCCUGCUGUGCUGGGGAAGGGAAGAUCGUAAGGAGGACACCAGCCCCAGAUGGAGACACUAGGACAGGCCCCUCCUGUCAAAUAGGAAACAGGUGUCCACCUGGUGGGGCAGCAGGAGGACAGCUGGGGAAAACACAAAGUCCCUGGUUCCCUUCCCAGACCUGCUUCUUCCAGGCUAGGGAGCCUGGGGCAGGCGAUUCCCCUCUCUGAGCCUCAGUUUGCUCCUCUGUGAAUUGGGGGGUUGGCAAUCCCAUGUUGCAUGACUGCUGUGAGGGUUGGAGCUCAUAAAGGAAAGACCUAGCUCGCGCCUGCACACAGAAGGUGCUCACAUCAAUGAUGUCAUCCCCAUUCCCAACGUCAUCACGCUCAAGGUCUGGGAAGGCACCUGGGGGUUGUGACUGGGGUCUCAGUGGCCUUCGUCCUGCUGCUGUUCCUCCUCCUCUUCCUCCUCCUCCGACAUCGGCAUCAGAGCAAACACAGGACAUCGGGUGAGUAGGGAAUGGGGGAACCCGUGGGCCGACCCAGGGUGGGCUCGGGGCACCAGCCAGAGGGAACCCAAACACACAGGAAAGUCAGCUUAGAAAAACUGCUCCAGAAAUUCCCAGGUGAAAAAUCGACCGAGAAAGAAGAGAAUAAAUGUGAGCAUGCGUGGAAGUGCUUGAUUCUUCUGAUUUUACUUUAAACUUACGACGUAUUUAAAGCUUCAGUGCCGGUGGGCCUCCGGGUUUCCUUCUUUCUGCUCGAGUUGUGUGUGCAGGGCAGCUGGUUCGAAUUCUCCCAAGCCUGACACUCUGUCCAUCUCUGUCCAGCCCAUUUCUACCGUCCUGCAGGGGCUGCGGGGCCAGAGCCCAAGGACCAGGUCCUGCAGAAGAGGUAAUUCUGCCUGAAGACCCGAGACUCCCAUCCACCCGCACAGCCCCCUCACUGCCCCUCACACUCCCGUGUCCUCCCCCAGGGCCAGCCCAGUUGCUGACACCCAGGAGGAAAUUCUCAGUGAGUGACUAGAAGCAGAGGGCACCUGGAGUGGGCAAGGGGCCACCAAAGCUUCUGUAGCAAUGGGGGCAGGAGCACAGGCUGGGAAGGGUCUGGGGCAAGGGGGAGGUGGUCUGAACCCACACUGUGGGACCUCAGGGACAUCACAGUCCCUCCCUGGAUCUCAGCCACCCUAGUGGGAACAGGGCAAGGGCUGGCAGGACUGAGAGGUCUCAGAGAACCUUCCCAGGAGAUGAACCCCUUGCUCUGGCCCAGCAGAUGCUGCUGUGAAGGACACACAGCCCAAGGACGGGGCGGAGAUGGACGCUCGGGUGAGGCCCCGCCCCUGUCCCGGGCACCAAAGGCCUCCUGGUGCCAGAUCUAAUCCUGCAGGACUUCUCUGUCCUCCUUCCCCCGGCUCUCAGCAUUGUCACGGUGGACCCCUCCUUGUCCAGCACGCUGCCUCCCGCCUGCUGCGACCUCACUCUCUCCUGCUGUCCUGGGACCUCGUGGGCCUCCUCCCGGGUCCCCUUCCUGCUCCUCAUCCUCUGUUUGGCCAUCUGGUAGUUAGAGCACUCCCCAGGCCUCAGGAGGAUGAGGAAUAAAUGAACCAACCCGGUCCCCCAGGCUCCCCUCAUUCAUUCAUCCAGCAAGUGUUCCCAGGGAGCUCACUGUGGAUGGGGCUCCCCGUGGGAGCUGCAGACACAGCAGGGAGCAAAGCCACCCCCGCCUCCUGAGCUCACCUCAUGGUGGGAGACAAAAUGCAAAUAAAUGCACCGUGUCCAGGAGUGCAACGUGCUGUAAGGAACAUAAACCAGGGAAAGGGCAGAGAGUGUGGGGCAGUGGGGCCAGUCUGAAUGGAAGGGGAGGGCUGUCUGCUCAGCUGUCAUCUGAGACGCCUGGACGGAGGGGGCCACAUGAUCCUCUAAUGGACGAGCCCCUGCAGGCAGAGGAAACAACCGUGCAAAGGCCCUGAGGCAGCAGCGAGCUCUUGCAGGAAGGCCCGUGAGGCUGCAGCCAAAUGGGCAAGGUCAGAGUGAGGAGCAGAGGCCAGAACCACAGGGAGGGAGCAGCCAGACCCUCCACGGCCUUAGGGCGUCCCUGAGAUUCCAUCAGGAAAGGGAUGUAAUCAGAUCACCCCGGGAACAGUGGGGAAAAUUGACUCCAGGGGGUCAGGAGGAUUCAAGGACACCCCCACCACUGUCUCUCUCCAGCAGAGCCCACGUGAUGAAGACCCCCAGGCAGUGACAUAUGCCGAGGUGAAACACUCCAGACCUAGGAGAGAAAUGGCCUCUCCUCCUUCCCCACUGUCUGGGGAAUUCCUGGACACAAAGGACACACAGGCAGAAGAGGACAGGCAGAUGGACACUCAGGUGAGUCCUUUCCUCUCCAGACCCCCAGGCCUCCCCGACCCCCACCACGUUCCUUCCCUCUCACUCUCCCCCGCUGCAGGCUGCUGCAUCUGAAGCCCCCCAGGAUGUGACCUACGCCCAGCUUCACAGCUUGACCCUCAGACGGGAGGCAACUGAGCCUCCUCCAUCCCAGGAAAGGGAACCUCCAGCUGAGCCCAGCAUCUACGCCCCCCUGGCCAUCCACUAGCCCACGGGGGACCCAGAUCUCACACUCAACAGGAGACUCAGGUACUCCAGAAGGCAGAGGAGCUGCCCCCAGUGGACACCAAUGAACCCCAGCCAGCCUGGACCCCUAACAAAGACCACCAGGACAUCCUGGGAACUCUGGGACUCACUAGAUUCUGCAGUCAAAGAUGACUAAUAUCCUUGCAUUUUUGAAAUGAAGCCACAGACUUCUCAAUAAAUCAAUGAGCUGAGAAAACUG
rnacentral:sRNA from 1 species